UGUAAACUUAAGUUGUAUAUUCAGGUAAUUAAUCCAAAACAGAAACAGAAAUUAUACACUUCUAUGUAUAGAGCGAGAGAGGCGAGAAUGGGAGAGUAGCGAGCGAGACUUCUGGGAGAGAGAGGCCUGACAAAUUUUUGCCAACGUUUGCUAUGGAGCACAAUUAAAUCAAACUCUAGCUAUUUCAUUUAAUUUAGGUUAUUAAUUUGCUAUUUUAUACAAUUUUCUCUUCUUUUUUUUUGCCAAAAAAGAAACCAUUCCCAGCCCGCUCAAAUAACUCAACUCCCAGCCCAAUUCUCCCAUAUGAUCCGACCCAACUCAUGUGUGUUUCUUUUUCUUCUUCACUCCCCAAAAAAAUUAAACGAAACUCAGUCCAACAAUCCAAAAACUCGUCCAACCCAGCCACAAAUCGAUUCAACAUAAGUCGAGUCGUCCUCUCCUCUCAACGUGUUCAUCUCCGUACAAGAACCAUUCAAGAAUUGUCCAUGUGUCCCCAUCUCUUUGCUCCCUCGUCCUUGCGCGUAAUCGGACAGUUAUAACACUUUUUUCGUUAAACAAUGGCACAAGAAUCGUACCAUUCCAUUAAUAGCCUUGUCUGCUAGAGGGGAAUUCAAAUUUCAACUUUUGAAUUCACCCCAAGGUCCCUCCCGUUUCACCCCUCAAAUUUUAACCUAGUUCUUCUCCUAUAAAUAGCCCCCUAUUCUUAUUUGUUAUAGCGAGAGGAUAGUGAUAGAGGUUAGAAAAAAUAGAGGAAGAAAUCUGGAAAAUUUAGAGUCAAGAAAAAUGUGGGAUUUCUUUGGAACAGUCACACUUAAUCUAAAGAAAUUUUAUACAUUUUCUUUAUUCGUGGUCAGCCGCUUGAGAUUCGAACUCGUGUUGUGGAAGAAUCGUCUCCAAGCUCGUCUUUUGUGUCAGUUUGUCUGCCCUCGCAAAGACUUCUUUAUUUGCCGCAUUCCGAGUCGAGCCAUAAAUUCUCCAUUUUGUUGUUAGGACCAGUAGUUUGCCGGAAUUAAUAAUAAGCAAAGUGAAGGCAAUAUAAGGUUGGGAGCUGCAUUUUUCUAAGUCUCAAAGACCCAAGGGAAAGGUGGUAUGCCAGUUGUAUAUAUGUUGUAUACACUGGUAUACUUCGUGAAAUAUCGAUAUGCAGGUCAAAUGCGGAAUUAAGGAUGAUGAAGGUGGAAUCAUAAAAUUCAAACAAAAAUACAGGUUUCGGAAAGUCCAAAACAGGCUGGAUACAGAUCAUAUACAGCAGUUUACACUGGUAUACAAUGUAUACAAGAUACACAGGUCAAAAAAAAUAUACAGGUACUUGAGGGGCUCAACUAGGAUAUGUUUUUCGAGAAUACAGUCCAAUAUACAAAAUAAAAGAACAGAAUAGGGCCUGUACACAGUGGUAUACACAAAGCAUAUACACAACGUUUUUAAAAAAAAUAGGGCCACAGGUCCAAAGGGAAUUCCAACAAGCCCAAUAGGUUGAAAAUGGGGCAAGAUCCAUUUUUGGGUCACUUUAGAUUUAGGACACAGUAUAAAUAUAGAAAAAUUAGCAAAGUAGUCGGAAUACAUAACUUAGUUAGUAAAAAUAUCUACAUUUUAAAAUGAUUAUUGAAAAUAUCAAUAAUUUAGAAAGUGAUUUGUAAUGAAAUUUUAUUUC